rnacentral:rRNA from 1 species
CACGUAGGGGGCGAGCGUUGUCCGGAUUCAUUGGGCGUAAGGGGCGCGCAGGCGGCCCGGAAAGUCGGAUGUGAAAACUCGAGGCUCAACCUCGAGCGUGCACCCGAUACUGCCGGGCUUGAGGCAGGUAGGGGAGAUCGGAAUUCCUGGUGUAGCGGUGAAAUGCGCAGAUAUCAGGAAGAACACCCGUGGCGAAGGCGGCUCUCUGGGACGGUACUGACGCUGAGACGCGAAAGCGUGGGGAGCGAACAGG